UUUUAACGAGCCAGUGCCACUGGAACAUUCACACUCCUCAACUCCUGCAUCCAUCAGAUCAGAUGGCUCAACUCAAUAUCGUGGCUGUAAUGGCAGUGCUUUUCACCCUUUUCAUGGAAACUGAAGCAAGUGCAUUUGAUUACAACUAUAAAUCGCUACGAAUUGGAGGCUUAAUCGUGGCCUUCUUGUUGGUGUUUGGAGGACUUGCCGUUUUACUCUAUAACAAAUGCUCCAGAAAGGGGAAAAAAGUGGAGGACGACAACAGUGAAAUCUGAUAUCAAACCUGAUAAACUGGUUUUCCCCUGGGGGAAGAAGUCGACAGGGUGGAGAGAUCUGUUGUGUGUUUGUGGGUGUGUAAUGAGGGGGAUGGUUUGGUGCAAACACUCCGGCUCAGAUAAUUCUUGUACAGACCUGUUAAAGGAAAAAAACUUUUAUUUGAAUGAAAAAAAUACUAACUGAGGUUCAGCGUAUUUUGACAAGGGUGGAAACGCAGCUAUAUAGAAGGAUGUGAUGAUGUCAUUAGAGAAGACCCCCCCCCCCUCUCCCCCUCAUUAUUGUUUCAUAUAUAUCUGUACUGAUGUGUAAAUCAUCUUUAUUCCUAUAGAAACAAUCCUGCAUGUCUCAUGUGUGCUGCUUAGUUGGGUCACAUUGUCAUAAUGCGACACAUAGCUUCUAAAAGUGUUGGAAAUAAAAACAGAGUCUUAUGUUUUGGUCUUUGUUCACUUCCUGUUUGCUGUAUGAUCAAGUGGUCAAACAUUUCCUCACUGAAAGAAAUAGUAAACAACAACUUAAUUAAAUGAAAUGAAAAUAAAUGUCACUGUAC